GAUCAUGGCUCAGAUUGAACGCUGGCGGCAUGCCUUACACAUGCAAGUCGAACGGCAGCACGGGUGCUUGCACCUGGUGGCGAGUGGCGAACGGGUGAGUAAUAUAUCGGAACGUACCUUAUCGUGGGGGAUAACGCAGCGAAAGCUGCGCUAAUACCGCAUACGCCCUGAGGGGAAGCGGGGACCGUAAGGCCUCGCGCGAUUGGAGCGGCCGAUGUCGGAUUAGCUAGUAGGUGAGGUAAAGGCUCACCUAGGCGACGAUCCGUAGCGGGUCUGAGAGGAUGAUCCGCCACACUGGGACUGAGACACGGCCCAGACUCCUACGGGAGGCAGCAGUGGGGAAUAUUGGGCAAUGGAGGAAACUCUGACCCAGCGACGCCGCGUGCGGGAUGAAGGCCUUCGGGUUGUAAACCGCUUUCAGCAGGGAAGAAGCGAAAGUGACGGUACCUGCAGAAGAAGCACCGGCUAACUAUGUG
rnacentral:rRNA from 1 species